rnacentral:rRNA from 1 species
UACGUAGGGACCGAGCGUUGUCCGGAAUCAUUGGGCGUAAAGAGCUCGUAGGCGGUCUGUCGCGUCGGAUGUGAAAACCCAGGGCUCAACCCUGGGCCUGCAUUCGAUACGGGCAGACUAGAGUGUGGCAGGGGAGACUGGAAUUCCUGGUGUAGCGGUGAAAUGCGCAGAUAUCAGGAGGAACACCGGUGGCGAAGGCGGGUCUCUGGGCCGAUACUGACGCUGAGGAGCGAAAGCGUGGGGAGCGAACAGG